UACGGGGGGAGCAAGCGUUGUUCGGAUUUACUGGGCGUAAAGCGCACGUAGGCGGCGCAGCAAGUCAGGGGUGAAAUCCCGGGGCUCAACCCCGGAACUGCCCUUGAAACUGCAGUGCUAGAAUCUUGGAGAGGCGAGUGGAAUUCCGAGUGUAGAGGUGAAAUUCGUAGAUAUUCGGAAGAACACCAGUGGCGAAGGCGACUCGCUGGACAAGUAUUGACGCUGAGGUGCGAAAGCGUGGGGAGCAAACAGG
rnacentral:rRNA from 1 species